rnacentral:lncRNA from 10 species
UUUGAACUUCUGGGCUCAAAGCACUCCUCCCAAAAGUGCUGAGGUUGCAGGCGUGCACCACUGUGUCUGGCCAGGAAUCUGUAUUUUAAGAGCUCUCUCUCAGGAAUGAAGUGCUUCGUGCUGCAUCCUGCCUUCAACGACAGGAAACUGAGUUUGUUACACAAAUCUCUGGAAGAUAUGGAGCUAGGAAGAGCCGUUGCCGUCUGCAGCUACUGAACACAGUGUGAUAGCACACUUUAUCUGCCAGAGCUCAGUUCCCAACUGUACUAAGGUUUUUAAAGGCACAUUGAAGUUGCAGCCAGCAAACUUCAGUAAGCAACACAGCAACUCCUAAAAUCGCCCUAUUUGGGGAGGGGGAGGCUAAGACUUAUUAACUUCAUUAUAUUAUCGCCAACAGUGUUUAUGUCUUUCAAUUUAUGUCUUAUUAAAUAUUCAUUAUUUUUAAA